ACAUCUUGCCUCAGGCAUUUUUGUCCCUCACAGUUCUCUGACUGCAGGAGGCAGGAGCGCCCGUCUCCUGCCAACUUGUACUCCUGCACGCAUCUGCGGACAAGGAACAAGCUGUCAGCGUAAUGGAAGGAGAAAGCUUUGGGAGAAGCUUGGUAAUCUGGGAGGGACUCCACAAAGAGCUGCUGCUUCUCCUCAUUGAGAGGAACCAGUUGAUACGGCUCUGGCAUCUGGUUAGGACGCCUUCCUGGAGGAGCCUUGGAGGACCUGCCGCAUGUGGCUGGGGAGAGGAGAGACUGGGCCUCUCUGCUCAGGCUGCUGCCAUAAAGACCUGACCCUAGCAGAGGCACAAGUGAGUAAUGCCCUGCCAUCGUACUGCAGCAGAACCAACCAAAGAAAGAGGGGAAGACAUGCGGCAAACGUGCCGAGGUUCUGGGAGACAAACCAGGAACAACUGCAAUGGGGACGACUGUCUCUGCUCCACCCACGCGACACCCCUCAUUGUUGAAUAAGAGUUAUAGGGAAGCUGUGAUUAAUUCUGCUUUAAUAUCUUAAAGAAUUGCUGACUUUGAUUGCCUCAGUUUGGAUUGGUGUUCUUGAUGAAAAAACAAGAUAAAGGCGGGGCAAAAACUGCAUUAAUGGGAAACAUUCUAGGUAAGAAUCAAAGCGCUUAAAAAAAUAUACAAAUUUUAGUCUUUGGGUAAAACAUGUUUGAUGAUUUGAAACAUCUAUAUUUGGGGGGGAAAAAGGGAAAAGAUGAGAAUGUCACACAGGGAAAUACUUUUUCAAUAACUUCAGUCCAAGCAUCAAACAUGUGGAGGUCAGCACUUCUGCAGUAAAUAAAAUGUGGUAUCUGUCCAUAGAAUCAAGUUAAUAUUUGCACAUAUUGUCUACAAUAUUAUUCAAGGACAGUUUUCUCAGUACCAACUGGGAGUCUGAAAGUUACCUGACCUUGACAUUUACUGAGAUAACAUAAUGCAUUUUAGCUUAAUAUUCUAGAAGCAGUUUCAUUUUGAAUACAUUAAAAAAGAAGUACUGUAACUUGGUGGUGCAAUAAUAACUGAAUUAGUGCAUAUGUAUAUUUUGGGGUUUGUACAGUGAUAAAACAUGAAAAUAUCAGACUAAUUAUAGUAAUCACCCUUUGCAAUUACUUCUAAUUAUUUAAAUAAUAUUACCCUAAUAAUAUUUGAAAGUAGUUUACUGGUUAUAUGGUGUCUACAUGUUUUUCCUCAAACACAAUCCAACACCUACAUGCUUUCUUAAGAGGCUGAGAACAUCUACAAAUAACUAUGCACAGUUAUGUUUUCUGUUGAAAGUUGCAGUACGCAACUUCCAUAAACAAUUAUAAUUUUUUUUUAACAUAUUUGUUAAAACUGUCACUAUGUUUUGACUGUAUAACACAAGAGAGAAUCUGUGGGAAAAAAAAAACAGCUCUGCUCCCUUCUCCCUGUAGUAAAAUAAUAAUAAUAAUAAUAAAAAAAUCAAUAAAAAAAAAUCAACAAAUAAUAGUAGUUUAAUUCUAAUGUGUAUUCUGGUUUUCAAUAAGUUUUAAAAGCAUUAAAAUCUAAAGUCAAACAUUUAUAUGUUUGACUUUAGAUUUUAGGUUUAUACCUACUCAAAAUAGAUUCUCCAAUGUCUAUAUUUUUAUGUAAAGACAGCCUUGAAUGAGAUUUUGAACAACUAUUUCCCAAAACACGAGAUUUAUGCAAGACAUGAAAAAAAAAAAACUUUCUUCACAUUGGAUUAUACAAGUCUCUUCAAUGAAACAUUUUAACUACAGUAAUAAUUGCAUUUAUGGUUAUGGACAUUUGAAUAUAUUAUUAAUUUCUUUUAAAAUAUUGUUUUAAUGUAGUAACACUUCAGCAGUUCUCACAAAAUCAGUCUAGUAGUAUUGUACUGGUGACAAGCAGACUGUCCACAAUUAAGAGUUGUUAUUUUUUAUUUAUUUUUUUGG